rnacentral:rRNA from 1 species
AUUGAACGCUGGCGGCAUGCUUUACACAUGCAAGUCGAACGGCAGCACGGGCUUCGGCCUGGUGGCGAGUGGCGAACGGGUGAGUAAUGCAUCGGAACGUGCCCAUUUGUGGGGGAUAACUACGCGAAAGCGUGGCUAAUACCGCAUACGCCCUGAGGGGGAAAGCGGGGGAUUCUUCGGAACCUCGCGCAAUUGGAGCGGCCGAUGUCAGAUUAGCUUGUUGGUGAGGUAAAGGCUCACCAAGGCGACGAUCUGUAGCGGGUCUGAGAGGAUGAUCCGCCACACUGGGACUGAGACACGGCCCAGACUCCUACGGGAGGCAGCAGUGGGGAAUUUUGGACAAUGGGGGCAACCCUGAUCCAGCCAUGCCGCGUGAGUGAAGAAGGCCUUCGGUUGUAAGCUCUUUCAGCCGGGAAGAAAGACGCACUCUCUAACAUAGGGUGUGGAGUGACGGUACCGGAAGAAGAAGCACCGGCUAACUACGUGCCAGCAGCC